AAUGAACGCUGGCGGCGCGCCUAAUACAUGCAAGUCGAGCGAGAAGACGUAGCAAUACGUUUGUAAAGCGGCGAACGGGUGAGGAAUACAUGGGUAACCUACCCUCGAGUGGGGAAUAACUAGCCGAAAGGUUAGCUAAUACCGCGUACGCUUCUUGGACUUCGGUUCAGGGAGGAAAGCGAUGCCGAGGGUAUCGCGCUCUUGGAUGGGCUCAUGUCCUAUCAGCUUGUUGGGAGGUAACGGCUCACCAAGGCUUCGACGGGUAGCUGGUCUGAGAGGACGAUCAGCCACGCUGGCACUGCGACACGGGCCAGACUCCUACGGGAGGCAGCAGUAAGGAAUAUUGCGCAAUGGGCGAAAGCCUGACGCAGCGACGCCGCGUGGGGGA
rnacentral:rRNA from 1 species